rnacentral:ncRNA from 1 species
AUAAAUGCAAUGAAAAGAAGAGUAGUAAAGUAAACAUUCCAUAAGAGAGCUGACAUUUGCUGAAAGUCAGUGUUUGUGAAUUUUAUGAAGAUGGUCUUAGAGCAGAUUUCCUGAGCUAAAGUAUUUGAGUUAGGGGAAUACGGUGGCAACCGUUAUGUUGCAGGGUGAUGAUGGUCACCUAAUGAGUUAUUUAUUGUGAAAUAAAUAAGAAAUAGAGUGGUAACACGUAUAAUACGUCUCUAUA